CUCAAAGAUUAAGCCAUGCAUGUCUAAGUAUAAAUGUAUUACUGUGAAACUGCGAAUGGCUCAUUAUAGAAGUUAUCGUUUAUUUGAUAGUCCCUUACUACUUGGAUAACCGUAGUAAUUCUAGAGCUAAUACAUGCGUCAGUUGGGGGUAUUCGUAUUCCAUAGUCAGAGGUGAAAUUCUUGGAUUUUUGGAAGACGAACUACUGCGAAAGCAUUUACCAAGGAUGUUUUCAUUAAUCAAGAACGAAAGUUAGGGGAUCGAAGAUGAUUAGAUACCAUCGUAGUCUUAACCAUAAACUAUGCCAGUUAGGGAUUGGCGGGGUAUCGUUACGUCCCUGUCAGCACCUUAUGAGAAAUCAUUAAACUUUUGGGUUCCGGGGGGAGAUGGUCAAG
rnacentral:rRNA from 1 species